UUCAGGCCAGUUUCAGCUCAGAGGACUCUUCCCAUGACUGAAGUGCAUGGUGCCUUUAGCAACAGAGACUUACCUUCCAACUAUGGGAGAAAGCAAGGGCAACAACAAUAGCCUAUAAUGUUCUGAGAGUCUCUGGGGCAACCUUGAUCAACUACUCUAAAGGAAGCUGCCUAUGACUUGUAUUAUGAUUUUUUUAGGAUUUAAUCUGAACCAUGUCUUUUACUGGAAGUCUAUGAGGAAUUGAAAGAAGGAAGCAUUUGAUCUUUUCCUGCUUGUACUCACUUUGCAAGUUACACAACCUAGUUGAGUCAAUGCGCAAGGAUGCCAACAGAAGAUGAAACCCUGAUGGAAUCCAGAGUGGACUGAAUGAUGAAUCCAGAGUGCAUCUUUUGUAGAUAUCCAGAUCUUCAGCAAGAAGUGAAGGGUUCAGCCAGUAUGGCACCAGUUGCCAGUGCCAGAGGAACCUUGUCAGGCUAUCACAGUGUUCCAUUAUCAAGAGCAGAGCAGUGGUGUAGUAGGUGAUGCAUCUGUGACCAAUAUAAGCUGGCAUAACAGAAGCUGUGAACGGGAGCUUCCCAGCCUGGAGCGAGUGUUUACUGAUGGGUUAUUGGUCCUCUUAGUCCAGAGGAAGGCUGGGCAGAGACUUGGA